rnacentral:lncRNA from 10 species
UGAGUCCGGGAAAGGAUGGGGUAGUUUGUAGGGCAAAGGUCCUUCUGCCUCUGACCUGGUUCCUGGAUAGCUUUGCCAAGAGGGGCCAGGUCAGGUCUCUCACGGGAGGGAUCAGCAGCCCCUCACUCUUCAAUGAUCACAUUCAAAAUCUACGUGGGGGGUUGUGUUGAGAUCUCAAAGGGGAGAAGGAGGAAGCCUCCAUGCACUCCAGGGGGAACGGAGACCCUCAACCUUGUUCCAUCUCCCCUUCCUUCCUGCCCCAAACCCAAGCAGCUGCAACAUUCCACUCCACGCCCAGCAGGCACGGGGUCCGGCUAGGAUUCUGUUUCUUGGGAGAGACGGGCCACGGGACUGCGUCCUGGUUUUCAGGGGCCUGGGGCGCCUGACUCUACCACCCGCGCUGUGGAGGCCGAGGCAAGGCUCGCCUGCAGAUAUGGGCUUGUGUUUGUUCUGUUCCUGGAAGACAUGCGCUGCCACCGAGUCACUGGGCUUUUGACUCAGCUGUGUUUCCUCCUGCAGAUGAACCCAAACCCAGGCUUUGGAGUCAGCAGAGCCAGCUGGGGCAUCAGCCUCCCACUGGCGUCUGUGUGACUUUGGGCAAUUCUCUUGACCUCUCUGAGCUUCGGUUUUCGGUCUCUCUGAAAUGGGAGGAACCAACUAGACCAGCGUCUCAAUCCCUGGACUCAAGCCUUGGACAUCUCAAGUGGAUGGAGUCUCUACCUGGCCGGUGCCAUGACACCUGCACACGUGGCAACAAAGAAAAGGGAAGAGAAAGACUCCAUGUUGACUCUACCUGGCUCCCAGGUAUCCCUUCUCUAUCGGCACGGCUGCCGACUUCGCCUGUGCAAGUUUCCAGCUUGCUUACCUAUGCUUGCAGCUUGAUUUUUCAGGCCGCUUUUUGUUAGAAAAGAAAUUAGUUGGGGGCUGCUUUAUUAUUAAAAUAAAAACCUUACUUUCUGUACUCUCACUAACUGCCUAAAUAAUUUCUUUUUAACUCCUAUAUCAGCGGGAGGAUUGCUUGAGCCCAGGGGUUGGAGACCACCCUCGGCAACACAGGGAGACUCCGUCUCUACAAAACAUUAAAAAAUUGCCAGGCGCAGUGGCUCAUGCCUGUAAUCCCAGCACUUUGGGAGGCCGAGGCGGGUGGAUCACGAGGUGACGAGAUGGAGAUCAUCCUGGCCAAUAUAGUGAAACUUCAUCUCUACUAAAAAUACAAAAAUUAGCCGGGCAUGGUGGUAGGCACCUGUAGUCCCACCUACUCGGGAGGCUGAGGCAGGAGAAUGGCGUGAACCCGGGAGGCAGAGCUUGCAGUGAGCCAAGAUCGUGCCACUGCACUCCAGCCUGGGCGACAGAGCCGAGACUCCGUCUCAAAAAAAAAUAAAAAAUAAAUAAAGUUAGCCAGGCAUGGUGGCGCAUACCUAUAGUCUAAGCUACUUGAGAGGCUGAGGUGGGAGGAUCACUUGAAACUGGGAGGUCGAGGCUGCAGUGAGCCAUGAUCACACCACUGCACUCCAGCCUGGGCAACAGAGUGAGACCCUGUUUCAAAAAACAAAAUGGGCCAGGCACAGUGGCUCACGCCUGUAAUAGCAGCACUUUGGGAGGCUGAGGUGGGUGGAUCACCUGAGGUCAGGAGUUCCAGACCAGCCUGGCCAACAUGGUGAAACCCCAUCUCUACUAAAAAUACAAAAAUUAUGGCAGGGUGCAGUGGCUCACACCUGUAAUCCCAGCACUUUGGGAGGCCGAGGCGGGCGGAUCACCUGAGGUCGGGAGUUCAAGACCAGCCUGACCAACAUGGAGAUACCCCGUCUCUACUAAAAAUACAAAAUUAGCGAGGUGUGGUGGCUCAUGCCUGUAAUCCCAGCUACUCCGGAGGGUAAGGCAGAAAAAUUGCUUGAACCCGGGAGGUGGAGGUUGCGGAGAGCCAAGAUCAUGCCAUUGCACUCCACCCUAGGCAACAAGAGUGAAACUCCGUCUCAAAAAAAAAAAAAAAAAAAAAAAAAUUAGCUAGGCAUGGUGGCCUGCCCCUGCAAUCCCAGCUGCUUGAGAAGCUGAGGCAGGAGAAUCGCUUGAAUCCAGAGGCGGAGGUUGUGGUGAGCCGAGAUUGCAUCAUGGCACUCCAGCCUGGGCAACAAGAGUGAAACUCCAUCUCAAAAACAAAAAGAAAACCCACAUAUACACCUUGAUUUAAUACUUCCCAAGAGCUAUUCGUUUGGCCCUAUGUCUGUGACAGCUGGAAAGAAUGCUUUAUAAAAGAAAGAAGAGGCUGGGCGUGGUGGCUCAUGCCUGUAAUCCCAGCACUUUGGGAGGCCAAGGCGGGUAGAUCACGAGGUCAGGAGUUCAAGACCAGCCUGGCCAAGAUAGUGAAACCUUGUCUCUACUAAAAAUACAAAAAUUAGCUGGGCGCAGUGGCGGGUGCCUGUAAUCUCAGCUACUCGGGAGGCUGAAGCAGGAGAAUCGCUUGAACCCAGGAGGCAGAGGUUGCAGUGAGCCAAGAUUGCACCACUGCACUCCAACUGCAGCGACAGAGCAAGGCUCCGUCCCAAAAAAAAAAAAAAAAAAAGAGAGAAAAGAAAGAAGAGCGGCCAGGCACGGUGUCUCACACCUGUAAUCUCAGCACUUUGGGAGGCUGAGGCGGGUGGAUCACCUGAGGUCAGGAGUUCAAGACCAGCCUGACCAACAUGGCAAAACCCUGUCUCUACUAAAAAUACAAAAUUAGCCGGGUGUGGUAGUGCAUGCCUGUAAUCCCAGCUACUCGGGAGGCUGAGGCAGGAGAAUCCCUUGAACCCGUGAGGCAGAGUUUGUGGUGAGCCAAGAUCGUGCCAUUGCACUCCAGCCUGGGCAACAAAAGUGAAACUCUGUCUCAAAAAAAAAAAAAAAACGAAAAGAAAAGUAAGAAGAGCAUCCUGGCCAGGCGCGGUGGCUCACGCCUGUAAUCCUAGCACUUUGGGAUGCCAAGGAGGGUGGAUCACAUGAGAUCAAGAGUUUGGGACCAGCCUGGCUAACAUGGUGAAACCCCAUCUCUACUAAAAAUACAGAAAUUAGCCAGGUGUGGUAGCGGGCGUCUGUAAUCCCAGCUACUUCGGAGGCUGAGGCAUGAGAAUCGCUUGAACCUGGGAGGCAGAGGCUGCAGUGAGCCGAGACAGCGCCAUUGCACUCCAGCCUGGUGACAAGAGCAAAACUCCAUCUCAAAAAAAAAAAAGCUUUAGAGCAGGAAUGAAAGGAAGUAAAGUACACUUGGAAAAGGGCCAAGCGGGUGACUUGAGAGAUCAAGUAAGCAGUUUGGCCUUUUGACUUGGGGUUUUAUAUGUUGGCAUGCUUCCGGGGUCUUGUGUCCCUUCUCCCCUCAUUCUUCCCUUGGGGUGGGCUGUCCGCAUGCGCAGUGGCUGCCAGCACUUGGGAGGUGAGCAUGCACAGUGUGUUUCCUGGAGCUGUGCACGUGUUCACUUGAGGCAUUCUUCCCUUAACAGUCAAAUGCCCCUAGAAGUUCAUAUACCAGUUAAGCCCUACCAUUUUGCCUCUUAAUGCACAUGCUCGAGCCUACUUGUCCAGCUCCUGAGAUCUUAUCAGGAAGCUGCUGAUCCCCAGUUUCAGGUGUUCCUGUUUAUUAGGAGACUGCUUUCUCUGCUGCCUGGUGCUGAGUCACAGUGUCUGGCACCCACAUUAUUUUUUGAACAAUUAUUAUGUUAGAGAGACAGUUAACAACCGCUUAACCAUUACAUGAUGGUGGCGGACAUUCCUGGUUGGGGGGGCCCUCUCCUGCUGUGCUCAUGCCUGACUAGCUACCUACUGUAACAAGACCCCGUCCCUAAAAAAUUGAAAAGAAAAAUAAAUUUAAAAACUAGGCCAGGCAUGGUGGCUCAUGCCUGUAAUCCCAGCACCUUGGGAGGCUGAGGUGGGAGAAUUGCUUGAGCCCAAGAGUUUGAGACCAGCCUGGGCGACAUGGCAAAGCCCCAUCUCUACAAAAAAUACAAAAAUUGGGCUGGGCACGGUGGCCCACGCCUGUAAUCCCAGCACUUUGGGAUGCCGAGGUGGGUGGAUCACUUUAGGUCAGGAGUUCAAGACCAGCCUGGCCAACACGGCGAAACCUCGUCUCUACUAAAAAUAAAAAAAUUAGCCGGGUGUGGUGGUGG